ACCAGCAGCCCUAUCACUCUGCAACUCACAACUGGCAACUCACUGAAGCUAAGCAGGUGUGAGCCUGGUCAGUACCUGGAUGGGAGACCUCCUGGACAAAACUAAGGUUGCUGCUGGAA
ensembl:rRNA 5S_rRNA 5S ribosomal RNA